rnacentral:rRNA from 1 species
GACGAACGCUGGCGGCGUGCUUAACACAUGCAAGUCGAACGGAAAGGCCCUGCUUUUGUGGGGUGCUCGAGUGGCGACCGGGUGAGUAACACGUGAGUAACCUGCCCUUGACUUUGGGAUAUCUUCAGGAAACUGGGGCUAAUACCGGAUAGGAGCUCCUGCUUCAUGGUGGGGGUUGGAAAGUUUCGGCGGUUGGGGAUGGACUCGCGGCUUAUCAGCUUGUUGGUGGGGUAGUGGAUUACCAAGGCUUUGCCGGGUAGCAGGCCUGAGAGGGUGACCGGACAACUUGGGACGGAACUACGGCACAGACUACUACGGGAGGCAGCGGUGGGGAAUAUUGCACAAUGGGCGGAAGGCUGAUGGAACCAAGCCGCGUGCGGGAUGACGGCCUUCGGGUUGUAAACCGCUUUCGCCUGUGACGAAGCGUGAGUGACAGUAAUGGGUAAAGAAGCACCGGCUAACUACGUG